AACGCGAAGAACCUUACCUACCCUUGACAUGGUCGGAAUCCUGCAGAGAUGCGGGAGUGCUCGAAAGAGAACCGGCACACAGGUGCUGCAUGGCUGUCGUCAGCUCGUGUCGUGAGAUGUUGGGUUAAGUCCCGCAACGAGCGCAACCCUUGUCAUUAGUUGCUACGAAAGGGCACUCUAAUGAGACUGCCGGUGACAAACCGGAGGAAGGUGGGGAUGACGUCAAGUCCUCAUGGCCCUUAUGGGUAGGGCUUCACACGUCAUACAAUGGUCGGUACAGAGGGCUGCCAACCCGCAAGGGGGAGCCAAUCCCUUAAAACCGAUCGUAGUCCGGAUUGAGGUCUGCAACUCGACCUCAUGAAGUCGGAAUCGCUAGUAAUCGCGGAUCAGCAUGUCGCGGUGAAUACGUUCCCGGGUCUUGUACACACCG
rnacentral:rRNA from 1 species